CACUUCAAUUAAGUCAUGUACCUAUUGAACACUUUACGUAUUCACAAAACAUUUCAAUUAAAUACAAUUGCUGACAUGACACUUAUGUGGCAUAGUGCGUGCAUUACACUGAAUUUAGGAGCGUGAAAUAUUAAAUUUUUAGCUCUUUUUUUUUUAACUUAAAACUCUUUUAUCUUUUUUUUUUUUUGUUUUUUUGUUAAUUCUCUGCUUUCUCAUUAUCUAAUCUACUGAAAGCUUUCAUUAAUGGACCUAUUUCGCCAUUAGUUUCUUCUUUUUUUUUUUUCAAUAAUUUUAAUCAAUCUAAACAACAAUGUUGGCUAUCAAAAUUCAAAUUUUAACUUGAAGUUAGUAUUUCAAAGAAGCUGUUUAUUGUCAAAGGAAAUCAGUUAUGAAGUUUUGACAAGUUUCUUUGACUUUAUGCUGUUUUGGAAACUUAAAAUUUCGACGAUGUUCUUGCUUUUCUGAUGGAAACUCAACCUUGAUGAUGAUGUUCAUACUUUUCUGUUUGGAGAAGAUGCUGUCCAUGUUUAAUGGACUGUUUGGCUGUCAAAAAAAAAUAUUUGAAAAACGCAUUUCAACAUCGAUUGAAUUUCAAUCAACCAAAAAUUUCAAUUUCUUGUCCCAGAUGGCUUCGAGCCCGAUCCUAUCACUCUUACUGUGACCACAUAUCGAAGAGUAGUGAACAUAAUCAUUCAAGAAGUGCUUCUAACAUAAUCAUGAAAAUUACUUACUCUUCAAAACAAAUUUGUCAUCGUCAAGAUUUCAUUAUCAUACUCAUCAUCAACCAACAAAGACGACUACUUCAAAGUUAUGAUCCAUAAAGAAAUGGAGGAAGAAGAAACACAUCAUCGGUAUGACUGAUUGGACAAAAGACUUACCUGCAGCAGAUCUGCAAUGUUUACAACAAGAGCACCAGGAGUAGGGGGAACAUUGACCCAACGAUUGUUAUGAAGAACUUGCAAUCCCCCUAUAUGGUCUUGAAGAAGCAGCGUCAAGAAUCCAUCAUCAGCAUGUUUACUAGCACCUAAUGUGAGUUCUGGUUCCGGACAAGCUGGAUAAUAGUGACAUACAACUGAAAGUCCCUUGUCACAAUCCAUGUCUUUGAGAUGGCUUGUAUUGAGCCCAAGUGCUUCUGCCAAUAGUUCAAACAAACAUCUCCCUAGUUUCUUCACUUCCUCGGAGUAUUUUACGAUGAUAUCCCUUAAACGCAUCAUAAAGAAAAGACAAAACAGUAUCAGUAGCUGUAGCUAUGUGUUAGCAAGGGCGGUCAGUUCACCACCCCUCGUCGAAAAUUAUGCUAUGAACACCCUUAGCAGAAUUCCUGGCUUUACUGGUCUUAUGUCGAGGGAUAUUCAAUGAGUUUCAUAUGUAUACAUAAGAACUUACUCAUUCUAUAAACACAGUAUAAUUUUACAACGAAGGGGAUUCGAUCAAACCCCAUUUAAACA